rnacentral:lncRNA from 1 species
CUCUGUUCUAUAGCCAGUUCUUCUUCCUUUGUUGGAUCAAAAAAGUGACUUGUCAGAGUGCUGGUUCCUUACCUCAGCUAUAGACCCUACUGGUCUGACUUGCAAGCUCUCUUCCAAGCUACACCACCAGUCCCUAGCAGAAGGGGAGUGUUGGAGCCAAACUUGCUUUACCCCUUACAGACCCAGCCCUCCAAUUAUACUGCAGAGAUGCUUCCUGGGCAGGACAGACUGCAGCACCCACAUGGGUUCUCAUCUCAGUACAUCCUCACCUUGAGAUCCGUACAGACCUGGCAGCCAGUGGCUUGCACUGUCCUUCCACCUGCACAUCUGCCUCUCCAGGCAGGUCACCGUCUGCACUGCUUCACAGAGGCAAGAAAAGCAUGUGCUGGAGGUAUGGCACUCCCUGCAGAAAUGAUGGCACCCUGAUGUGCUGUUCAGUGCAUCAGCUGUGAUUUCACAUCACUCUGAAUCUCUAGGGGUGCAGUGGGUACCUUUAGUCCCCUUGACCCUUAGUCUCUCUCCCCAAAUGUGGGCAGUGACCCAGUGGAUGUGGCAGUGGAGAAAUAGCCCCAGCAGACGAGUGUUGGGGUUGUUGGGCAUCCCUUUGAAGCAGGAACAACCUUACAGGACAUCCCUGGUGUACUCUGGAAAGGGUGAUUAGUGUGUGGAGCCCCGCUACAGCAGCCCAUUGUCACUCACCUGCCCUUUUACCACUGAACUGCCUUUAGUCAUGGGCUGUGCUGUGCAGGUAGGGGGGAAAAAAAAAGAGAAAGAAAACCAAGGGAGGGGAAAAAAUAAAUCAAAGAACAGUGUGUUUCGUGUUGUUUGA